AGUGCUGGGAAAUGCAGCUCCUGGGGCGAUGCCUUGGCAGGGACACAGAGGAGCCCUGUUGGACAGUCAGCAGAGAGGGCUCGUGCUCCCUUCUCCCUCCAGUGAUCCUCGGCUGCAAACUAACCAGGCAUCAGGUCUCCUGCUGCCAGUGAUGACCCGAAGUUUCCACUGUUCUGAAAGACAGACAGUUCCUUCUCCCUGACUGAGGGCCAGCAGGGCACACCAGGAUGGGAAGUUGGUGCAGUGUUUUCCCUGGUUCACUGAACCAUUAAAGCAGGUCCAACAUGGCACUGUGAACCCCCCCAAACUCUUCAGCUGCUGUGACACAUCAGCGAGUACCUGCACUUCUCUGC